UCUAAGUUCCAAACUUUGCUUGGUGGUGAACCUGACUGUCAUCAAUUUUCAUCACCAAACAAAGCUUAGAAUUUAGAU